GUGCUUACACAUGCAAGUCGAACGAUGAACCACUUCGGUGGGGAUUAGUGGCGAACGGGUGAGUAACACGUGGGCAAUCUGCCCUGCACUCUGGGACAAGCCCUGGAAACGGGGUCUAAUACCGGAUAUUGACCUUCACGGGCAUCUGUGAGGUUCGAAAGCUCCGGCGGUGCAGGAUGAGCCCGCGGCCUAUCAGCUUGUUGGUGAGGUAAUGGCUCACCAAGGCGACGACGGGUAGCCGGCCUGAGAGGGCGACCGGCCACACUGGGACUGAGACACGGCCCAGACUCCUACGGGAGGCAGCAGUGGGGAAUAUUGCACAAUGGGCGAAAGCCUGAUGCAGCGACGCCGCGUGAGGGAUGACGGCCUUCGGGUUGUAAACCUCUUUCAGCAGGGAAGAAGCGAAAGUGACGGUACCUGCAGAAGAAGCGCCGGCUAACUACGUGCCAGCAGCCGCGGUAAUACGUAGGGCGCAAGCGUUGUCCGGAAUUAUUGGGCGUAAAGAGCUCGUAGGCGGCUUGUCACGUCGGUUGUGAAAGCCCGGGGCUUAACCCCGGGUCUGCAGUCGAUACGGGCAGGCUAGAGUUCGGUAGGGGAGAUCGGAAUUCCUGGUGUAGCGGUGAAAUGCGCAGAUAUCAGGAGGAACACCGGUGGCGAAGGCGGAUCUCUGGGCCGAUACUGACGCUGAGGAGCGAAAGCGUGGGGAGCGAACAGGAUUAGAUACCCUGGUAGUCCACGCCGUAAACGGUGGGCACUAGGUGUGGGCAACAUUCCACGUUGUCCGUGCCGCAGCUAACGC
rnacentral:rRNA from 1 species